GACGGAGGGGGCUAGCGUUGUUCGGAAUUACUGGGCGUAAAGAGUGCGUAGGCGGUUUAGUAAGUUGGAAGUGAAAGCCCGGGGCUUAACCUCGGAAUUGCUUUCAAAACUGCUAGACUAGAGUGUAAUAGGGGAUGAUGGAAUUCCUAGUGUAGAGGUGAAAUUCUUAGAUAUUAGGAGGAACACCGGUGGCGAAGGCGGUCAUCUGGGUUAUCACUGACGCUGAUGCACGAAAGCGUGGGGAGCAAACAGG
rnacentral:rRNA from 1 species